rnacentral:rRNA from 1 species
AAAUUGAAGAGUUUGAUCAUGGCUCAGAUUGAACGCUGGCGGCAGGCCUAACACAUGCAAGUCGAGCGGUAGCACAGAAGAGCUUGCUCUUUGGGUGACGAGCGGCGGACGGGUGAGUAAUGUCUGGGAAACUGCCUGAUGGAGGGGGAUAACUACUGGAAACGGUAGCUAAUACCGCAUAACCUCGCAAGAGCAAAGAGGGGGACCUUCGGGCCUCUCGCCAUCAGAUGUGCCCAGAUGGGAUUAGCUAGUAGGUGAGGUAAUGGCUCACCUAGGCGACGAUCCCUAGCUGGUCUGAGAGGAUGACCAGCCACACUGGAACUGAGACACGGUCCAGACUCCUACGGGAGGCAGCAGUGGGGAAUAUUGCACAAUGGGCGCAAGCCUGAUGCAGCCAUGCCGCGUGUGUGAAGAAGGCCUUCGGGUUGUAAAGCACUUUCAGCGAGGAGGAAGGCGGUAAGGUUAAUAACCUUAUCGAUUGACGUUACUCGCAGAAGAAGCACCGGCUAACUCCGUGCCAGCAGCCGCGGUAAUACGGAGGGUGCAAGCGUUAAUCGGAAUGACUGGGCGUAAAGCGCACGCAGGCGGUCUGUUAAGUUGGAUGUGAAAUCCCCGGGCUUAACCUGGGAACUGCAUUCAAAACUGACAGGCUAGAGUCUUGUAGAGGGGGGUAGAAUUCCAGGUGUAGCGGUGAAAUGCGUAGAGAUCUGGAGGAAUACCGGUGGCGAAGGCGGCCCCCUGGACAAAGACUGACGCUCAGGUGCGAAAGCGUGGGGAGCAAACAGGAUUAGAUACCCUGGUAGUCCACGCUGUAAACGAUGUCGAUUUGGAGGUUGUGCCCUUGAGGCGUGGCUUCCGGAGCUAACGCGUUAAAUCGACCGCCUGGGGAGUACGGCCGCAAGGUUAAAACUCAAAUGAAUUGACGGGGGCCCGCACAAGCGGUGGAGCAUGUGGUUUAAUUCGAUGCAACGCGAAGAACCUUACCUACUCUUGACAUCCAGAGAACUUUCCAGAGAUGGAUUGGUGCCUUCGGGAACUCUGAGACAGGUGCUGCAUGGCUGUCGUCAGCUCGUGUUGUGAAAUGUUGGGUUAAGUCCCGCAACGAGCGCAACCCUUAUCCUUUGUUGCCAGCGAUUCGGUCGGGAACUCAAAGGAGACUGCCGGUGAUAAACCGGAGGAAGGUGGGGAUGACGUCAAGUCAUCAUGGCCCUUACGAGUAGGGCUACACACGUGCUACAAUGGCGUAUACAAAGAGAAGCGACCUCGCGAGAGCAAGCGGACCUCAUAAAGUACGUCGUAGUCCGGAUUGGAGUCUGCAACUCGACUCCAUGAAGUCGGAAUCGCUAGUAAUCGUAGAUCAGAAUGCUACGGUGAAUACGUUCCCGGGCCUUGUACACACCGCCCGUCACACCAUGGGAGUGGGUUGCAAAAGAAGUAGGUAGCUUAACCUUCGGGAGGGCGCUUACCACUUUGUGAUUCAUGACUGGGGUGAAGUCGUAACAAGGUAACCGUAGGGGAACCUGCGGUUGGAUCACCUCCUUACCAAGAAG